CUACAUUAACCCUCCUAACAACACUUUGUCCAUGAACGAGAUAGUCACCUUGUGGGAGAAAAAGAUUGGCAAGUCUCUUGAGAAGACUUACUUGUCAGAGGAACAAAUCUUUAAGAGCAUCCAAGGUUUGAAAUAUCAUCAAAUCAUGAUGUUUUUAGAUUCUUUAGCACUGCCUUCUGCAUUAGCUAAAUAAAAAGUUCUUUUUUUUUUUGUUUCUUUGGCAGAGUCUCCGGUUCCCAUCAAAAAUCUUUUGGCCAUAAACCACUCUGUGUUUGUGAAGGGAGAUCAGACCAAUUUCACUAUAGAGCCUUCUUUCGGUUAUGAAGCCUCUGAGCUUUACCCUGAUGUCAAAUACACUACUAUUGAUGAGUAUCUCAGUUAUUUUGUUUGAGGUACUUGAUCAUAAAUCACCUUGUGUACCACCAUGACAAUAGUUUCAUGUUUGUAUCAAUAAAAAUGAUUCUUGUGAUAUCUCACAGUGCUUUACCUCUGUUUUGAUCUUUCAAUGGAAAAUGAAUUAAUAUUCUUAUUCAUUAUUUUUCAACCCAAUGGAGCUCUUGAGUACCACCAUAGUGCAUCCAUGAGUAAGCCACAAUAAUAUUAUCUCACAAAUUCACAUAUCUUUGUAUGCAUAUUUGUAUAUAAUUGUUUUCAUAUAUUAUCGUUUGUGCUAGAAUUCAUGUAAUUUGUAUUUUACGAACAGAACAUGGGAGUCAAAAACUGUUCACCACAUGGGAUGUCGAGUGAGGAUAAUAUUUGUUCGUAAAUCAACUCACCAAAUAUUGUCCAUAAAGAAUUGCCCUGUCAACGCCAUUCAUUCCUUCACUCAGAUUCCACACAUCAUCACUAUUCAAGUAGCAUUCAUUCAUUAGUCAUUACCACAUUCGAAACAUGGCGUCGGAGAAAAGCAAGAUUCUGGUGAUUGGAGGGACUGGUUACAUGGGAGGAUUCAUUGUUGAAGCUAGCGCUAAAUCCCGUAACCCAACGUUUGUUCUUGUCCGAGAAGCGUCUCUUUCAGAUCCCGUCAAGUGGAAAACCAUCCAGAGUUUUAAAGAUCUCGGUGUCACAAUACUACACGUAUGCAUGAACUAUCAUUUUCUAACAUGUAUACAAAUUUAUAACCAUAACCUUAGCUAUGUAACUUGUCAGGGAGAUUUGAAUGAUCAUGAGAGCUUAGUAAAGGCCAUCAAACAGGUCGAUGUGGUGAUAUCAACCGUUGGAAGCAUGCAAAUGUUGGAUCAAACCAAGAUAAUUUCCGCCAUUAAAGAAACCGGUAACGUUAAGGUCAGAAUUUGAUUCAUCAUCAAACUCGUUACCAGUGACAAUUGUAGAUAGUAGUCUCUUACUAGAUACGUAGCUGAUGUUUUCCAGAGAUUCUUGCCGGCUGAGUUUGGGGUAGACGUGAAGAGAACCAGUGCCGUUGAGCCGGCAAAGUCAUUUUUUGCAAGGAAGGUACAGAUAAGGAAAGCCAUAGAAGCUAAAGGAAUACCAUACACCUACGUUGUUAGCAAUUGCUCUGCCGGGUUUUACUUGCGUACAUUAGUUCAGUUCGAGUCUAGUCUCAUUUCUCAUACUAGAGACAAGGUUAUCAUCUUUGGCCACGAAAAUGUUCCUCCUAGAGACAAAGUCACCAUUUUAGGCGAUGGAAGUGCCAAAGGUUGAGAAUUUUAUAAUGUAAUAUAAAGUAUAGUAUAAUAACAAAAAAUUUAAUAUGACAAGUUAUAGAUUGUUUUUACAGUUGUAAUCAACAAAGAGGAAGAUAUUGCUGCUUACACAAUCAGGACAGUGGAUGAUCCAAGGACUCUCAACAAAACCCUCUACAUAAGACCUCCUAAGAACACUUUAUCGAUGAACGAAAUGGUCACGUUGUGGGAGAAAAAGAUCGGCAAGUCUCUUGAGAAGACUCACAUCUCAGAAGAUCAAAUCCUUAAAAGCAUCCAAGGUAAUAAAUCAAAAUCUGACCAUUUAUCACCAAGAGAGGUUUUUUUCAUUGCUAACAAAAAAAGAAUUUUAUCUUCUUUUUGCGUAAUCUCCAGUUCCGAUGGAUGUUUUUAAGUCGAUAAACCACGCGGUGUUUGUCAGAGGAGAUCAAACCAAUUUCACCAUAGAGCCUUCGUUUGGUGUGGAAGCCUCUGAGCUUUACCCUGAUGUCAAGUACACGAGUAUUGAUGAGUAUCUCAGCCAAUUCACUUGAGAUGUACAAUUUCAUAAAAGCACACAUUCGCCAAUACAAUGACGUCAGUUACAUGUCUGUUACAAUAAUAAGGAUUCUCGUAUAUAUAUAGAAGUAACGUGUGUGUACUGUGGCUACUCAAGCAAAAUGAUAGUAUAUCUCCGUAUCUUGUGUCAUUUAAAGCUUAAGGUACAUCUGCGAGCUAGUCUGAGAUCCCCAAAUCGUUUCCAAACCCCACUGGGAAAAUUCUCAGUGACCACCAUAGGAUCAAGACUGAUGCACCUGAAGCUUCUUGUCGAACGAAGGGACAUCAUCCGAAAGAGGCUAUGGCUACCUGGUUGAUCUUCAAAAUGCAUAAGAGUAUAUACGGUAUAACUAAGAUUUUAAGAACUUCAAUGAAGUUACUUCAUUCAUGCGUAAGGUGUAAGAUCGCGCCACUCAUACAACGGAUCAAGUGUCCCAACAUAUAUAGUAGUAAACAUAAUACUUAAAUAGUUAUAUCAAUGUUAAAAAAGAAAAUUGGUAUACCAAAUUUCUAGGAAAAAUUUAUUUUUAAAAUAAUCUCUGUAUAUACAAAAGAAGGCAAGUCCUAAGAUCAUGUUCAUCUACAUGAGCACCUCCGACAAAAGUUCUUAAAGAGUAUAGUGUAUAUAUUUAAGAAUUAAAAAAUAAAAAUAAAAAUAAAAAAGAAAAAGUAGGAAAGAAAACAAUAAAGGUUGCAAAGCAUUUUAGAGAUAUUUUUACAUAAUAAAUGAAUUAUAUAUUUAAAUUUUAAUAAUAAAGAAGAAAACAAAUGAAACCCAACUAUUAUAUGGAAGACAAGUGUCUUAGAGCAACAUUAUAGGUAGGAUGCUAAUUUUUGAUAUUAGCAUUAAUUUAUAAUUAAUUUUGAAAAAGUAAAGCUUAAGAGUUAUAAUUUUGUUUUUGGUUUUGGGAUGUGUUUAUUGGUGGGAUCUUAAGUUGGGUAUCUUAGAAAAAAAAUUAAUUUUUAAAAAUUAAAUAAAUUUAUAAUUUGUAAUUUUAGAAAAUUUUAUAAUUAUUGCAAAUUUAGAAUUUGAAAACAUACAUAAGAUAUAUAUUUAUUAUAAUAAAGAAAGAAAGAAAGAAAAAUUAGAACAUUUUCUCACUCUUUCUUCAUUUUUUUUUCAAAUGUUUUAUAUAUACAAUAUAACCUUUCAAUUGAUGUCCUGCAUUCUUUUUACCCAAAGUUGUUUAUUUUUUUUUGGGGGCCAAACCCAAAGUUGUUUAUCAUGUGUGAAUUUAAAAAAGUGUAAAAAUUAUGAUGUGACAUGGUGAAUCAGUGGGUAUUAUUGUAAAUCAGCCCACAAAUUAUUGUCAAUAAAUUGCUCUCCUGCAAACGCCAUUUCCAUCACGCAAUUCCACAGCAUUGGUAUUCAAAUCGUAAGCACUAAAUUAUUAUUCAAGUCUAAAACUAAGCAUGGCGACGGAGAAAAGCAAGAUUCUGGUGAUCGGAGCGACUGGUUACAAGGGGAAGUUCAUCGUCGAAGCGAGCGUGAAAGCCGGCAACCCGACGUUUGCUCUUGUCCGAGAAGCAUCUCUUACCGAUCCCAUCAAGGAAAAGACCGUCCAGAGUUUUAAAGAUCUUGGCGUCACAAUACUACACGUACGUACGCAUGAACUCUAAUCUCUCUCUAACAUGUUCCGUAGAUGUUCACCCUAUACAAAGUAUAACAUUAACCUUACUCUAAUCAGGGAGAUUUGAAUGAUCACGAUAGCUUGGUGGAGGCCAUAAAACAGGUCGAUGCGGUGAUAUCAACCGUUGGCCACAUGCAAAUCUUGAAUCAAACCAAGAUCAUUUCCGCUAUGAAAGAAACUGGUAACGUCAAGGUUGGUAUUUGAUUCAAACCCUUACUACAUAUACAUAGCUUUUUAAAAAAUAUUUAGGUUACAUAUAAAUAGCUAUUACACACACAUGUAUAUAUUGUAUAUAUAUAUAUAUAUAUAUAUAUAUAUAUAUAUAUAUAUAUAUAUAUAUAUAUAUAUACGAGAUUUGUAGUUGAUGUUUAAUUCUUUUGCAGAGAUUCUUGCCGUGUGAGUUUGGUAGUGACGUAGACAGGACAAGUGCCCAUGAGCCGGCAAAGUCAUAUUUCGCCGGGAAGGUAGAGAUCAGAAGAGCCAUAGAAGCUGAAGGAGUACCAUACACAUACGUUGUUAACAAUUGCUCUACCGCCUUUUACUUGCGUACCUUAGCUCAGUUUCAGUCUGGUCUCACUUCUCCUCCUAGAGACAAAGUCACCAUUUUAGGUGACGGGAAUGCCAAAGGUUGAUAAUUUAUUAUGCAGACAGAAAAAAUGAAUCUAAAAACAGGAAAGCAAGAUUUGUAUAUUAAGUUCCAUUUUUUUCGAUUUCGCAGCUGUGUUCAACAAUGAGGAAGAUACCGCUUCUUACACGAUCAUGGCAGUGAAUGAUGAGAGGACUCUGAACAAAAUCCUUUACAUCAAUCCUCCUAAGAACAUUUUAUCGAUGAACGAAAUAGUCACCUUGUGGGAGAAAAAGAUCGGCAAGCCUCUUGAGAAGACUUACUUGUCAGAGGAACAAAUCUUCAAAAGCAUCGAAGGUUUUAGAAAAUGUUUCUAAGGUUCUUUUUUUUACUGGUCUUUUUCAUUUGCAUAAUAUAACACAUUUUUGUUUAUUCCAG
rnacentral:lncRNA from 1 species